rnacentral:rRNA from 1 species
UACAGAGGUCUCAAGCGUUGCUCGGAAUCACUGGGCGUAAAGCGCACGUAGGCGGAUUGUUAAGUCAGGGGUGAAAUCCUGGAGCUCAACUCCAGAACUGCCUUUGAUACUGGCGAUCUCGAGUCCGGGAGAGGUGAGUGGAACUGCGAGUGUAGAGGUGAAAUUCGUAGAUAUUCGCAAGAACACCAGUGGCGAAGGCGGCUCACUGGCCCGGUACUGACGCUGAGGUGCGAAAGCGUGGGGAGCAAACAGGGAUUAGAAACCCUGGUGAC